rnacentral:ribozyme from 13 species
ACAGAAACGUUGUACAAAAGAAUCGUAACAACUUUACAAAAAGAAACCAAAGCACGACAUUUCAUAUGUAAUAUCAUUGCAUGGGUGUUACAAAUGUUUUCGUUAUUAUUUUUGGUUGUCUUUUUCCCCCGUCCCCGGAUCCAUGGCAUAUUUAUAUAUAGAGAGG